rnacentral:lncRNA from 1 species
CCCUUGCAGGCACGUUUGCAGCUGAACAUAUAGGAGGCUUCCUGAGACAUCACAAGAGUCAUGUUUGAAGUUCUUAACAUUCGUAAGUUAUUUUGAGAAUAGUUUCUUUACAUCUUUUUAAAUUCAAAAUUGAGAAAUAAUGAAUUGAUAGGAAAUGAUAAAAUCCGCCUGAGAGAUUCAUUCAGGGCUAGAAGAUUAACACAAAGUACAGACAGAGAAACCAAAUGACCAUUUCUUAACUGGAUUUGAUAAAGGUAGAAGUUUCUGUUGGAAGUCACACAACCAGCAACUUAAGUAUCCAUGAUUGUACCAGAAGAUUGACAGACAAGGCUCCAAAUUACCGAGGGGAUAAACAAAGCCCAACAUCCGACGGAUGAUCAAUAAACGGUUGCAAACUUAGCAGUCCUUGCUAUCAUAACCAAAACCUUAUGUUAUAUAUCUAGAGGUUAUUUGUAUAACUAGAUGCAAAGUCAGCCAAUCACAUGAACUGUUCAACUAUCAAAUAGCUAAAUUCUUGACCUGCACAUUUUUACAAGUGCCCAAAGUGGUUCAGCAGUAAAGGAAUGAAGGCUGAUUUUAACAGUUUCUUAAUUGUUCAAGGAUCUUGAUAGGUGCAUUUUGAUGUGCAGAUGGUCUUGUCGGUUCCAAAACUAGCUCGUUGAUUUUGAUACUACGACCAAAAGUAUGCUUGCAUGCACAAGAAAGAGAAGUUGAUGGCUGAAUACUGCAAUGGCCCAAAAGAAAACUGCUUGGAAAUAUCAACGUAUCAAGCACAUAAUUAGCUUGGAAGUAAAAUAAAAUGAACUAAAACUUCAAAUUGCUGAGGUAGCUCUAAGAAUAUUUCAUAUUGUUCCUUUCUGCUGGCCAAGCAGGAAGAGAAGAAUUAGAAACUACAAGAUGGACAUUUCUAGGAAAUGAAGUGCACGUUGAUAUCAAAAGAGGGGAUGCCUACCCAAUGUUCAGCAUUUCCAUAAUAUUAUAUUUCCUUUAUUGAUUGGAAAAGAAUAGAGGUAAUUACUUCAAAGUUAGGGAACCAAAGAAGAAGAAGAGCAUACAGGACAU